rnacentral:rRNA from 1 species
GAUGAACGCUGGCGGCGUGCCUAAUACAUGCAAGUCGAGCGAACGGACGAGAAGCUUGCUUCUCUGAUGUUAGCGGCGGACGGGUGAGUAACACGUGGAUAACCUACCUAUAAGACUGGGAUAACUUCGGGAAACCGGAUCUAAUACCGGAUGAUAUUUUGAACCGCAUGGUUCAAAAGUGAUAGACGGUCUUGCUGUCACUUAUAGAUGUAUCCGCGCUGCAUUAGCUAGUUGGUAAGGUAACGGCUUACCAAGGCAACGAUGCAUAGCCGACCUGAGAGGGUGAUCGGCCACACUGGAACUGAGACACGGUCCAGACUCCUACGGGAGGCAGCAGUAGGGAAUCUUCCGCAAUGGGCGAAAGCCUGACGGAGCAACGCCGCGUGAGUGAUGAAGGUCUUCGGAUCGUAAAACUCUGUUAUUAGGGAAGAACAUAUGUGUAAGUAACUGUGCACAUCUUGACGGUACCUAAUCAGAAAGCCACGGCUAACUACGUG